AUACUAAAUUUUGACAUUCAUAUUUAUAUUCGGUCAAAUCUGGUAUCGACACUACAACAAAAGCGGUCUAUAGCGACACUUUUAAAUAUAGGUAUAUGUCAAAAAAGUGCUGCUAGCUAAAAUUAGCGACACUUUUAAAAAGUGUUGCUAUAUGUGGGGUCGCUAGGUAUAUAGUGACAGUUAAAAAGUGUCGCUAUAACCUAAAAGAGUGCUGUUAAUUUACCAACACUUAUUUAAGCAUUUAGCAACCGUCGAAACUCUAUCUCGUUGGCUGCGGUGGCGGAGGAGGACGAUCGUCUAGAAUUUCAGUGGAUUGAGUGAAGAGAGAAGAAAAGAUGGUAAUUAAUUUUUCNUUUUUUUUUUUUUUUUUCUGUUUGUAAUCGAGUCAAAUGGACUGAGUGUGGUGGGUUGAGUAUAGUAAUCUUUUAUUUUUGAUUGGAUUAAGCUUUAUAUUUAGGCAUAAGUAAAUAUUUUUUUAAAUUUUAGCAUAAAUAGGAUACUUAUUCAAAAGUGUUCCAAACAUGUAUUCCUAUAACUUGUAGUGCGAAUUUGAUCGGAGUUUAUCCAGACUGCUUCCACCCAUAAUCGAUCACAAGUAU
rnacentral:lncRNA from 1 species